AUGUCACUGCACUCAAUUUACCAACUCGGAUUUGAUUUGAUAUCUGUCUAUCUGUCUCAGGUGGACUGGGAAAGCAACGGCGGCCUGGUGAAGAAGCUUCCGUCCAUCCGUGAGGACGAGGAGGGCGACGAGGAGCAGAACUCUGUGUCCCGGGCCCCUCGCUCCCCGCUGCGUCUCAGCAGGGGCCUCAACUCGCCCCUGCGCUCCCCUCUUCUGCCGCCCAGGCCGUUCCGCGCUCCCUCUGAGCACUCACGGCCAGCCACCCUGCAGAUACCGGUGGUCAGCUUCAGCAGUGCGCCACCUGAGCUCAGCCCCAGGUUCGUGGACGGCAUCGAAACAGAGAGCAAUUCCACCUCAUCGCAGAAGUUCGAGUUCAGUCCCAGCCUGUCACCUACAGCGUCCCCCUCCCCAUACCCAGGGCUCCGGGAGCACUCUGAGAUCAAGCAGAGUGUGUCUAAAUUGACUGAGGAGAUGAACGGUCUCUCCAAACAAGUGUCCAAGCUCAGUGAGGAGCUGCAGGAAAUGACACGCCUGCUCAAGCCCCUCCUCCAAAUAGCAUCGCCACCAAUCCUGACCACCAUGAUGCCAAAUCUGACCCCACCCCCAAGCAGUGCCAGCCAGCUCUCAACAAGCUCCUGUCUCGUGUUGCCACCCCCCGCCACAUCCUNNNNNNNNNNNNNNNNNNNNCCCCCGCCACAUCCUGUCCCCUGCAGAGACCUGACACUCAUUCCCUGUUGGACAGUGGAGACAUAG
rnacentral:lncRNA from 15 species